AUACUCUGGUUUCUCUUCAGAUCAUAUAAAUGUUUCACCUUUUACUAAAUAUUUCCAUGGAGAGGAACUACAUACUACAUACAUAAUGUUAUUAGAUUCUGCCUUUCCAUAGUU